GAUGAACGCUAGCUACAGGCUUAACACAUGCAAGUCGAGGGGUAACGAGAGGAAAGCUUGCUUUCCUUGUCGACGACCGGCGCACGGGUGAGUAACGCGUAUCCAACCUGCCCCCAACUAGGGAAUAACCUUGCGAAAGUAGGACUAAUACCCUAUAAUUUCCUCAGAUGUCAUCUGACGAGGAAUAAAGAUUUAUCGGUUGUGGAUGGGGAUGCGUCUGAUUAGCUUGUUGGCGGGGUAACGGACCAACAAGGAAACGAUCAGUAGGGGUUUUGAGAGGAAGGUCCCCCACAUUGGAACUGAGACACGGUCCAAACUCCUACGGGAGGCAGCAGUGAGGAAUAUUGGUCAAUGGGCGGAAGCCUGAACCAGCCAAGUAGCGUGCAGGAUGACGGCCCUAUGGGUUGUAAACUGCUUUUAUACAGGAAUAAAGUUAGCCACGUGUGGUUAUUUGUAGGUACUGUAUGAAUAAGGACCGGCUAAUUCCGUGCCAGCAGCCGCAGUAA
rnacentral:rRNA from 1 species